rnacentral:rRNA from 1 species
UUCCGGUUGAUCCUGCCGGACCUGACUGCUAUCGGAUUGAUACUAAGCCAUGCGAGUCUUUGCAGUAAUGCAAGGCAUACGGCUCAGUAACACGUAGUCAACUUACCCUAUGGACGAGGAUAAUCUCGGGAAACUGAGCAUAAUACUCGAUAGAUCAUAAUGCCUGGAAUGGUUUAUGGUUAAAAUGAUUCGUCGCCAUAGGAUGGGACUGCGGCCUAUCAGCUUGUUGGUGAGGUAAUGGCCCACCAAGGCGAUUACAGGUACGGGCUCUGAGAGGAGAAGCCCGGAGAUGGGUACUGAGACAAGGACCCAGGCCCUAUGGGGCGCAGCAGGCGAGAAAACUUUGCAAUGUGCGAAAGCACGACAAGGUUAAUCCGAGUGAUUUCUGCUAAAGAAAUCUUUUGCAAGUCAUAAAACCACUAGUGAAUAAGGGGUGGGCAAGUUCUGGUGUCAGCCGCCGCGGUAAAACCAGCACCUCAAGUGGUCAGGAGGAUUAUUGGGCCUAAAGCAUCCGUAGCCGGCUCUGUAAGUUUUCGGUUAAAUCCAUGUGCUCAACGCAUGGGCUGCCGAAAAUACUGCAUAGCUAGGGAGUGGGAGAGGUAGACGGUACUCAGUAGGAAGGGGUAAAAUCCUUUGAUCUAUUGAUGACCACCUGUGGCGAAGGCGGUCUACCAGAACACGUUCGACGGUGAGGGAUGAAAGCUGGGGGAGCAAACCGGAUUAGAUACCCGGGUAGUCCCAGCUGUAAACGAUGCAGACUCGAUGAUGCAUUGGCAUAUAGCCAGUGCAGUGUCGCAGGGAAGCCGUUAAGUCUGCCGCCUGGGAAGUACGUACGCAAGUAUGAAACUUAAAGGAAUUGGCGGGGGAGCACCACAAGGGGUGAAGCCUGCGGUUCAAUUGGAUUCAACGCCGG